rnacentral:rRNA from 1 species
AACGAACGCUGGCGGCAUGCCUAACACAUGCAAGUCGAACGAGACCUUCGGGUCUAGUGGCGCACGGGUGCGUAACGCGUGGGAACCUGCCCUUAGGUUCGGAAUAACUCCCCGAAAGGGGUGCUAAUACCGGAUAAUGUCUUCGGACCAAAGAUUUAUCGCCUUUGGAUGGGCCCGCGUUGGAUUAGCUAGUUGGUAGGGUAAAAGCCUACCAAGGCGACGAUCCAUAGCUGGUCUGAGAGGAUGAUCAGCCACACUGGGACUGAGACACGGCCCAGACUCCUACGGGAGGCAGGAGUGGGGGAUAUUGGACAAUGGGCGGAAGGCUGAUCCAGCAAUGCCGGGUGAGUGAUGAAGGCCUUAGGGUUGGAAAGCUCUUUUACCCGGGAUGAUAAUGACAGUACCGGGAGAAUAAGCUCCGGCUAACUCCGUG